GAUGAACGCUGGCGGCGUGCCUAAUACAUGCAAGUCGAGCGAACAGACGAGGAGCUUGCUCCUCUGACGUUAGCGGCGGACGGGUGAGUAACACGUGGAUAACCUACCUAUAAGACUGGGAUAACUUCGGGAAACCGGAGCUAAUACCGGAUAAUAUAUUGAACCGCAUGGUUCAAUAGUGAAAGACGGUUUUGCUGUCACUUAUAGAUGGAUCCGCGCCGCAUUAGCUAGUUGGUAAGGUAACGGCUUACCAAGGCAACGAUGCGUAGCCGACCUGAGAGGGUGAUCGGCCACACUGGACCUGAGACCCGGUCCAGACUCCUACGGGAGGCAGCAGUAGGGAAUCUUCCGCAAUGGGCGAAAGCCUGACGGAGCAACGCCGCGUGAGUGAUGAAGGUCUUCGGUUCGUAAAACUCUGUUAUUAGGGAAGAACAAAUGUGUAAGUAACUAUGCACGUCUUGACGGUACCUAAUCAGAAAGCCACGGCUAACUACGU
rnacentral:rRNA from 1 species